AACGCGAAGAACCUUACCAGGCCUUGACAUGUCCAGUUUGAUCGCCAGAGAUGGCUUUCUUCACUUCGGGUGGCUGGAACACAGGUGCUGCAUGGCUGUCGUCAGCUCGUGUCGUGAGAUGUUGGGUUAAGUCCCGCAGCGAGCGCAACCCUCGUCCUUAGUUGCCAUCAUUCAGUUGGGAACUCUAAGGAAACUGCCUAUGAUAAGUAGGAGGAAGGUGGGGACGACGUCAAGUCAUCAUGGCCCUUACGGCCUGGGCUACACACGUGCUACAAUGGUAGUGACAAUGGGCAGCGAUACCGCAAGGUUCAGCUAAUCCCCAAAAACUAUCUCAGUUCGGAUUGUCCUCUGCAACUCGAGGGCAUGAAGUUGGAAUCGCUAGUAAUCGUAGAUCAGCAUGCUACGGUGAAUACGUUCCCGGGUCUUGUACACACGC
rnacentral:rRNA from 1 species